UACGGGGGGGAGCAAGCGUUUGUUCGGAUUUACUGGGCGUAAAGGGCGCGUAGGCGGUCGUGACAAGUCACUUGUGAAAUCUCCGGGCUUAACUACCGGAACGGUCAAGUGAUACUCGUCGGACUAGAGUACAGAAGGGGCAACUGGAAUUCUCGGUGUAGCGGUGAAAUGCGUAGAUAUCGAGAGGAACACCUGCGGCGA
rnacentral:rRNA from 1 species